GGGACUGUGGCUCAGCGGUAGAGCACUCGCCUAGCAUAUGUGAGGCCCUGGGUUCGAUCCUCAGCACCA
rnacentral:tRNA from 1 species